rnacentral:rRNA from 1 species
UACAGGGGGGGCAAGCGUUGUUCGGAAUUACUGGGCGUAAAGGGCUCGUAGGCGGCCAACUAAGUCAGACGUGAAAUCCCUCGGCUUAACCGGGGAACUGCGUCUGAUACUGGAUGGCUAGAGUUUGGGAGAGGGAUGCGGAAUUCCAGGUGUAGCGGUGAAAUGCGUAGAUAUCUGGAGGAACACCGGUGGCGAAGGCGGCAUCCUGGCCCAACACUGACGCUGAGGAGCGAAAGCCAGGGGAGCAAACGGG